AAUGACCGAAGCUUCAAGACUUUGACAUGUGUGAAAACAUGAAAUGACCCUUGGCUCUUAUUGUUCUUGCUGGUGUGGUAUGUUCACGGCUGAAAAGAUGGUCAGAAGGGGAAAGGAGGAAGUGAGAAGAAAGAAACAGGGAAAUGACAGAGUGUUGCUCAGUUACCCAGGCUGGAGUGCAAUGGCAUGAUCUUGGCUCACUGCAGCCUCCACCUCCUGGGUUCAAGCGGUUCUCGUGCCUCAGUCUCCCAAGUAGCUGGGAUUACAGGCUGGAGUGCGAUGGCAUGAUCUUGGCUCACGGCAAACUCCGCCUCCCUGGUUCAAGUGAUUCUCCUGCCUCAGCCUCCCGAGUAGCCGGGAUUACAGGCAUGUGCCACCAUGCCCCGUUGGCCAGGCUGGUCUCGAACACCUUACCUCAGGUGAUCCUCCCACCUUUGGGAUUACAGACCCUGCAUGUGAUGGAUCAGCUGACACCAUCCAGAUCGGUAAACUGGUUCAUCUGAUCUUGUGCCCUCCACCCAGGAACUGACUCAGCGCAAGAAGACAGCUUCGACUCCUUGUGAUUUCAUCCCUAACCAAUCAGCACUCCUGGCUCACUGGCUUCCCCCAACCCACCAAAUUGUCCUUAAAAACUCUGCUCUCCAAACGCUGGGGGAGACUGAUUUGAGUAAUAAUAAAACCCUGGUCUCCUGCA
rnacentral:lncRNA from 10 species